UCUCUCUCUCUCUCUCUCACAUACAGAUAGACAAAAUAUUCAUAGAAACACUAUAUGUAGCAUUUUAUUUGUAGAUAUAGCUUUUAUCCAAAACCUUGUGAAACUGAUCAUCUAUGAUGAAUCUUAUACUAGAAUAAAAGCCUUGAUUCUCUGAUAUAGCACAUUAUUGUUGUUUGUCUUGUUUGGAACUUUAGGUAGGAUGCAGAGGAUAGAACUCAAAAUAGGUAAUAUUUUUUCAUGACUGGUGACUUGUAGAUUUGUGUGUUUGGAAAUGAACAAAUUGAAAACAAAGGUAUAAUUCGCACAAGUAUCCAUCCGAGGCUACUGUGUAGUUUCAUUCUUGCUUCUUCAAAUAAUAAAUCUCAUUUGUAUGCUAUUGUCUGCUUAAGGGAGGAAAAUUGUAGAGAUUUGAUUGAUACUAAUGUCUAUUUACCAGAAAAAUGUCAAGGUCAUAUUACUAGUUCUUGAAAGAGGAAGGAUGACAGGGUAUAGGGGAGGGGGUGGGGAUGGAAAUUAAUGAUACCUGAAAGCAGUAACCCUGAGAACCCUAGCAAUUAAUGGUCAUUCCUUCACCAAACACCCCUUUCUCCUUCGUUAUCAUCUUUUGUGGUGGUAUGGCAUCUAUGGUUAGAGUGCAUUGCUGUUAUCCUCAAGAAUCACCAUUUCUCACCAAAUUAUUUCAGGAAGUUUGAAAAUAUAGUUCUGCUAAAAGCCAUGACCUCCAAAAUGACAGCAUUAGCAGCUAUGAUAAAUUGUUCAGUUAUUAUUUAUUUGACUUUGGAGUUUGGGAUUGGUAUUUUUAUUUUGUGAACAUUUCUUUUGCUUUCUUGAACCUUGUUCGGAUGCAACAAUCAAAUAUUUUUUUUUUAAAUUUUUUGUUUCAUUUUUUUACUUUAUGGAAGCUCAAUGAUGUGCUUUGUCCUUUUUCAGAGAAACAACUUACCUGCAGUUCGGCAAUACCUGGAGACAUUUGCAAUUAAUAUUUACUUGAAGUUUCCGACAUUGGUAAGAAAUGUUAUGUUAGUUUAGGGAAAUUUAUGAGCAUUGUACAGAACUUCUGGUGACAAUGUAACAAGCUGAAUUGAUACCCAGGAAAGGCACAUUUAACCACCAUAAUCACUAGACACGUGCAUGUAAAUUGUGGUAAUUGGCCAACAACAAAUGCUUAAACUUUGGCCUGCACAUUAAAGGUAAGGUGGACUAUGAACCAUGUAAAAAGGCCUCCACCAGAGGUCAAAUUUGGAAAUUGAGGUAAGAUGGAUGCCUCAACAGUUUUUUUGUGUGCAUAAUGAUAUGCUUUGCAUAAUUUUAAUAGAAACUGGAACUGGUAAUAGUGUGUGUUUGAAUUUUUAUUAUUAUACUUUAUUUUUUAUAUUCUCUUUUAUUGGCUGUGCCUCUCUUCUAAUCCAAUUUGUUUGCUUUGUUCUCAUCUCAGGUUGGGGAACAACUAGUUCCUAUAUUACGAGAUUAUGACAUGAGGCCACAGGUAAAUAUAACAUCAGUGUCCUCUCUUCUUAUUUCAUAAUUGGUAUUAGGUAGGUAAUGGAACCUACAAUUGGAUACUAGUGAAUUGAUACUCAUACAGGAAUUUUAAGCGACUGUCUAGCCCCAGAACAACGAACUUUAUCAUGGAGCCCAUUGCAAUCAGUGGAUACUUCCUGAAGAAUUUUUCUGUUUUUUUUUUUGUCUAAACUUAGUAACCUUCUUUGCAGGCUUUCUUAACUAUCUUAAAUUCAUAUGAAUAUAAGGAUUUGGAAAGAGGAUAACAAAUCUAUCAGAUUGCAAUUGGUUCUCUGGUCUGUUUACUUGUAAAUACAUGUCUACAAUGUCAACCUCAUGCCUUAGGUUGCUCACUCCUUGGUGUUGUGUAUAUCCAUGCCUGACAUGGGCAGAUUGUCUCUCUCUCAUGUAAAUUUUUUCCAUAUAUUUUGGAGGAUUUUAUCCAUGUAACUAUAUCCAUUUUCACUGUCCAAUAUGUGUCUGAAUAUUGAUAGUUCAGAGGUUUGGGUUGAAUCUCAUAGUUUUUUAAUUAAUAUUCUCCUCCAUUUGGUUGGUGCUAUAUGAUAAGAAUUAAUAUUGGCAUGAGAAUAGAUGAUUGACCUUUCUAUACCUAAUGGUUGAAUUAAUUGGACUGCAUUGGGUGACAUGAAUUUUGUUUUAUUGUUUUCUUAAUUCUUACCAUAGAUGCAUCAUCUUGUUAACGAUUUUUUUAAAUUUAGUUUUUGCACGAGGUGCCAAUGCCUCAGUGCCUUUUAUUUGGUUCUUAAUACAUUUACAAGUCUCAGAAUGUCAAAUGCAGGCACUAUCUUCUUAUGUGUUCAUAGCAGCAAAUAUCAUUCUCCAUACAUCUAAAGCAUUUCAAUCCAGGCAUUUGGAUGAAUUACUUCCUCCUAUACUUCCAUUAUUGACCUCUCAUCACCACAGCUUGCGAGGUUUUACUCAGGUCCUGAUUGCCACAAUGAAUUUUCUCAUUGAUGUAAGCCCUAUGGCUGUCAGUACGUAAUACAUCUUCCUGCUGUCUUUUGCAGUUGCUUGUGUACCAAGUUUUAUCUAAAAUUUUAUCUCCACUGGACUGCGGAGCCUCUGAAACUACGGAUUUGGAGAAAAGGUGCUUUGAAGAUUUGAAAUCAUACCUGGCAAAGAACCCUGAUUGUAGGCGGUAUGGUAUUUAUAAACAUUAUCAGAUAUGAUAUUUGAAACAUUUUACUAUCCUACAAUUUGUAAUUGCUAUAAACCAUUUAUGUAGCUUCCAUUUUCUGUAGAAGCUCAAAUACAAGAAAUAUCUUUGAUGCUUUUGUCAAUUGCAUUUGUAAGUCUUAUUUUAAUAUGAAGAAAAAUCUUCUUCUCUAGGCCGUAUGUUGAACAGGGUGCAUCACCAAGAGGAUUUGAGUUUAUUUAGCACAUAAUUUUCAGCAUGCCUAUAUGUUUGAAAACUUCAUAACAGUGCAUUAGCACUUGUGGCGUUCUUUUUAUAUGGCCUUGUGUGUGUGCGUAUUCCAAAGAUCAAUUUAUAGAGUCGGCGGAAGUCCUGCAUAUGAAUACUUUCCUAGACCAGUUUCAUUUGUCUUCAAUGAGUUUUACAACUUAGUUCUAAUUGAUCAGAGAGUUGAAUUAUGAUGUUUCCCUGUGUUUAAUUCUGAGACUCUAAUUGUUAAACACUUCAUUCGGAUGGCAGCCUUAAAGUUUCUGAGAAGUUAUUUUGUUAUUUUCUGACAAGCUUAACUAUUAUCCUACUUACAGGAUAGCUAGCAACAUUAUGUUGCUCGUGUUAUUCCUGCCUGAUGGCAGAAAAGUAUAAAAUCAUAAGCUCCUUCUACUUUUAUGUGUGUACCAUUGAAAGUAACGUAUGCAAUCUGAAUUAAGGGGUAUCUACAGUUACAUCCUGUUCAGGUUUUGGUGGUUGUACAUUUGAGUUAGUUUGAUUAACCUGUCUUUUAUCUCUUUCAGCUUACGAGCAUCAAUGGAAGGAUAUCUUGAUGCCUAUAAUCCAAUUGUCUCUGGUACUCCAACUGGAAUUUUUAUCAACCGGGUUGAGGUCAGGGAUAUUUUGCAUCUGAUUGAUUUCAUAUUAGGCUUGAAUAAAUAGAAUUACUCUGGAACUUUAUGUGGUGACUUUCAACUAUAAUUUUGAUCUUGGUAUAUUUUGAAUGUCUGGAUGCUAUUUCAUUCUAUUUAUUCCUUUCCUAUCUCUCCGUCAAUAGUUUAAUUCAUCUCUGUAUAUAGUACUAGUAAUUUUUUUAUUAAUUUUUUGUUCUUAUAUCCUCAGAAAUUGGAUUCUGAUUUCCUAGAUGAUAUCUAACUUGUGGAGAUAUUUCCCGUUUUUUAUUUUUAUUUUUUCCAUGUGAAAUGUUCUAGAUGAAUCAGCAUCCAUAUAUAAUGUUUAGGCUUCUGAAUACUACACUUUUGCACAUUGAAGGAACUUGAAUUUGAAUGCGUCCCAACAUCCCUCUUGGAGGAGGUCCUCAGCUUUCUAAAUGUAAGCUCGCUAUCAUUUAUUAAGGAUUUUUCUUCUGUUGCUGGCAUCUUACAUUUCAGAGUUGCAGGAUGUUAGGGAGGACCUCAGAUGUUCAAUGGCAAAGGAUGUUAUAACUAUAAAAAAUGAGAGCUUCAAAAUUGAUGAAAACCCUACCUGCAGGAGAACAUUACCUAAGGAACUCCUUGAAGAAGCAUCAUUGGAUUUUCAGAAAAAAAUUACUCCAAGUAAACAUGAGAAAAAAGAUGCUGAUUCCAGCUCCAUUUUGGGAAGCAAUGCGUACAAACAACUUUUAGGUAUGUACACUUUGAAGUUAAUGUUAAAUUCUCUCAGUCCAAACAUCUCAGGAAAGUGUGGCUCAAAAUUCUCGUCAAACAACAUGGGCUUUUAUUAUUUUGUUAUUGGACUUAGCUUUGCCCCCAAUAUUUUAUGCUCCUAAUGGUCAUUCUCAUCCACCAGUGUGGGAUUCUUUUGCUUUCCUCCCUUUUCUUCUUUUCUUUCAUUUCAUUUGUUAUUCUUUUCAUUUCAAACAGUUAAUUUAGGGCAUGGAAAAAUAUAUGUUUGAGUUCUACAUAUUGCAGUUGUAGAUGAUCUCUUACUAGAUGUGUCUUGUGGGGUGGGCCUUUUUCUUUGAGACUCUGUUUGCAUUUUUCUCCUUCACCAGCAAUUUAUGGCUUUUUUGUCCUUCUAAUUUUAUAAUACAACUUAAAGAUCUAGUUUUUUGGCUCUCUCCCCAGAAAUGAUUGGAAGUAGAAAAGGGGAUUUCUUUCUGCGAUUAUGAGAUGAAUUAUACAAAGUUUUUUGUUGGUCUUGUCUACCUUGUAUUUGGGUAACAAUGUUACUUAACUUUCAGUUCUGCACGCUCUCUUUACCAAGACUCUUAACAACAUACUCACUUGCUAGGGCCGUUAGUUCGAGUGAUCUGUAAUUCAUUCCUUAAGAGCAGAACAAGAAACCUGAAAUAAGAGGCUGCGAAAUACUUUCUACUAGGGAGUUGUAAAUAUUGCUGAUUAAAUGGAAUGGAGGAAUGGUAUCAGCAUAUAGCCAAAAUAGUUCAUAAAUAAGGCAUGAUGACUGAUACUCUUAAAAAGCCUAGACUUUUUGGAAACAUCCCAAAAAGGCAUUUUAAGGACCUAAACUUUUUAGUAGAUUCUUCUACUGAAUAUUGUGAUAGCUAUAUAUAGUUUCCUCUAUGUUGAAUGCAGAAAUGGAAAAGGAAGAUGAACUUCUUGACCAGUCAUUACAAUCUAGAAUUUUGACCAUGGAAAGAAUAAGAGCAAGUCGACAACAUCUUAUCCUUGUGGCAUCAUUCCUUGAUCGAGUACCCAACCUUGCUGGCUUGGCACGGACAUGUGAGGUAUAUUUUAGAUGCUCAUACUAGUACUUACAUAAAGCUUGGCGGCUAAUUGUUGCAUUUCCUUUUAAGCAUUUAGCAUUCUUUAUCUUCUCUUCAUGCCAGUUAUUCUUUCUUGCAGGUAUUUAGGGCAUCAGGUUUAGCCAUUGCAGAUAAGAGCAUACUACAUGACAAGCAAUUCCAGCUCAUCAGGUUCUAAUGAUGACUACCAUUUUUUUGUCUUCAAGUCUUGUCUUUCAUUGUAGAUGCUUCACUCUGUUCUGCAGUCCAUCCAUUUUUCUAGAACAAUACCAAUGGUAUGCAGUAUGCACAGUAAGCCAUAGUUGUGUACAUGCCUACAGACCUGCAGGCUGCAUGCAUCAACUUUUGGUUAGACUUCUUUCCCUAAGACGUUAAGUACCUCGGGAAUUAAAAUUCACCCCAAAUUGGGCUUCUGCAACUGUGAAUAUGGGUGUCUAUUUACGAAAAAGAAAGCAAACUAACUGGCUCUGAUUGGUUGGGGUAAUACAAAUAUGGAGUUGAGGAGUCUGAAUUAUAUUGGGAAUUCAUGGGAUUAUAGUCUGCAACUCAUAUUAAUCAUGGUUAAGAUUUUGAUUACCUCUAUUUAUGAUUGAGGAUGGACCGACUGCCUUUUGUUGCCAAUCUGUCUUACAGCACUGAAUGACUGGAUGACUUUAAUGACAGCAGUUGGGCUCUUUUAACUUUUGCAAAUUUUUUCUCGCAAAUUGAUUUUGGCAGUUUUUAUUCAUUUGCAUGCAUUUUGUUUUGUAGUGUAACAGCAGAGAAGUGGGUUCCCAUUAUAGAAGUUCCAGUAAAUAGUGUGAAGCAGUUCCUUGAGAAAAAGAAACAAGAAGGCUACUCUAUCUUGGGAUUGGAGCAAACAGCCAAUAGUGUGUCCCUCGAUCAGUUUGCCUUUCCUAAAAAGACGGUGAGUCACUUUAAAAGUUAACUUUCAGUUCUUUGCGUGAGGGUCAGGGGAAAUAACUUUCUUAAGCAGCCCAUGCCUAUGUAAGAACUAAACUAAAGAAAUCUUUUUCUUUUGGAAAGAAAACUAAAGAAAUCUUACCAUCUUAAUAAUUAAGAGUAAGAACAUUUCCACCGUAUAUUUGUUGAAAAGGUGGGUUGGGGUUGAGUGGGGGGAAAGGCAUGAUGUUCCCACUACAACGUUUUGGUACAGUGAAAUUUUUCAUAUAGUUUUUUUAUUCUUUCAUGAAAUCUAUAGGAAGUUUGCUUAGUAUAUUGUUUUGCUAGGUCCUGGUGCUUGGGCGUGAAAAGGAGGGUGUUCCUGUUGAUAUUAUCCAUAUACUGGAUGCUUGCAUCGAGAUUCCUCAACUGGGAGUGGUCAGGUCGCUCAAUGUUCAUGUUAGUGGAGCUAUUGCUCUUUGGGAGUAUACUCGACAGCAAAGAUCUCAAUAAUUCUUCAACUUUGAUGUGAUCUUCUUUUAAAGAUAUUUUAAGAAGCACAUCUACUCGACAUCUUCAGUGCUAACUAGAGGGUGACUUUACUGUUGUAAUUUUUUGUUUAAUAUUUGUCCAGUUCCAAGGUUGUAAUGUCAGAUUAGUCCGUCUUCUAAUUGUUGCCCUUGUUUGGAAGGCUGCUGAAGAAAAAUUGCAUUAAAUUCUAGUAACUUGAAAUCUGAGACAUGUUGAGUUCUUUGUAAAAUCAAACUCCAAGUGGUGAGAAAAUUAUAUGGACUUUUAAGAGGAUAAGAACAACCUGAUAUUCCUUGGUGGAUUAAUUGGCCUAUGAUGUAUUUGAUUUGGUUUUAUAAAUGGGAAAAACCAGCAUAACCAUGCUCAUCUGCCGAAACCAACGGUCGUGGGUUUUUGGUAAAACAUAUGUUAAGGACCCUUAGGACCAGAACGAUAUGAGAAUGGCCUCUAUUGUAUUUAUUCUUUUUUCUUUCUAAUUUUAUUUUUUGUGUGCUUUUCUUGCUUUUAUACUCCCUCAGACACACUAUGAUCAGGAUUAUAGAGCAGUAUCAUGUUGUCUGCAUUUUCGAGGUAGACCUCUUUGGGGACUUUCAAUUCCCAUUAUCAAGAGAGUGGAAGGGAGGAGAUGUGUUAAAGCACAUGAAUUAGAGUUGUUAGAAAAUGAGAAAGACAUGCAUUGCUUAUCUGUGCAACAGGAAAGAGUUUGAUAGAGGUAAAGAAGCUGCAUGGUUUCGAUCCAUCACCUAAAGUAACUCCCAUCAAAUCCGAAGCCCAGAGUUACUUUAUACUUUUACCCCACAGGUUAAGUUGAAGGUUUAUCUCCCUCUGAAGUGUUAGCCAUCUCAAUGGCUUCAACUAUCACCUUUGCUUUCUUCAUUUUUGUCGUCAAAUUUUUUGAGCUUCUACAGAUUGAAGCUAAAGUUUUCAUGAUUUUAAUGGAUGAGGAACCUGUUUUCGCUUUCAAAUCCAAGUACACUAAUCCCAGGUUUAACCCGUUUCUUUGUUUUCUUUUUUUCCUUUUAUGCCGGUCAAUAUGCAUCUGAUUGUAUCAGGUUUGUGUAGGAUCGAGGAGGUUAUGGAUUACAAAGAGAGUUUGAGUAAUAGCCAUGACUUAUUUUUGGAAUCUCUUCUCCAGAAAGGCACUUAUACUAAACUCUAUAGCUACACUCAUUUGCUGAAUGGAGUUGCAGUACACGUUGAGUCAGAGGAGGUAAAUCCAUGGUCCAAAGAACUUUACUUGAUCCUGUAAUAUCUAAACAUGUUUGCAGUUUCCACUGCCAAAUUUAGAACCAUUUUUAUAAGCCUGAAUUGGGGUGACAAACUAUAAAUGACAUUUUGCAGGUGUCUAGCAUUCUGAAGAAUGCAAGAGGAGUCAGAGCCAUCCAUGAAGAUACCAAAAUGGAGAAGCUUACAACACAUACGCCUGACUUUCUUGGGAUUCCUGCUGGUAUUUGGCCAAGUUUGGGAGGACCAGAGAGAUCUGGUGAGGGGGUAGUAAUAGGUAUGAUUGACACCGGAAUAAAUCCGUACCAUCCUAGUUUUACAAAUAUGUCAAUGGGGUCUAUAAAUAGUACCAAAUUCAGAGGGCAAUGUGCCACUGGAGAGAAUUUCCCCCUAACAGCAUGCAAUGGAAAGAUAGUAGGGGCGCAAUAUUUUGCUCGUGCAGCCAUUGCUGCUGGUGAUUUUAUCACUAGUCGUGAUUUUGCAUCCCCUUUUGAUGCUGAUGGUCAUGGAAGGUAAGUAACUUGAUAUCUAUAUCUUACGAUGUAAGGUUCUAUUUGUACUUCCGGGCUGGCAGUUUUUUCAUUUUACUAUUAAUGGGGACCUAGAAAUUGAAAAUUGCUAGUGUAGCAUUUAAGCUUCACUUAGUUUAUAAUCUGCAUUGUUCUACUAUCUGUUUCCAAUAAUUUAAGUUCAUUGUCUCAAACCCAUGCCUACAGCCACACAGCAUCUACUGCUGCUGGAAACCACCAAAUACCAGUGAUUGCUAAUGACUUCAACUAUGGAAAUGCAAGUGGCAUGGCUCCUGGAGCAAGGUAAAAGAAGAACUUAAGCUUCUGUUUUGCAAGCCUACUAUUUCUAACUCAAAAUUACAAUUCCAUCAUGAAUUUCAAGUAGAUUUUUUGCUAAUUUAUUUAUUAUUUUUUCUUGUUUCUGAAAUAGGAUUGCUGUGUACAAAGCACUGUAUACUUUUGGAGGUUAUAUGUCAGAUGUUGUGGCUGCUGUUGAAAAGGUUUGGUAACUACACAUGAAUCAAUUUAAUAACGAUCUUGAAAUCAAUCUUGACAGAAUUUAGUAUAAUGACAAUGGAUCUUUAUAUUUCAUUGAAGUAGCUUAAAUGUUUAAAAAAUUGGUUUACAACAUCAAUGAAUCCAGGCAGUGGAAGAUGGUGUUGAUAUACUAAGCCUUUCCAUAGGGCCAUCUAGUGUCCCUCCUGGUCCUUCUGCUUUCCUCAAUGUGCUAGAAAUGGAGCUCUUAUUUGCUACAAAAGCUGGCAUUUUUGUUGUUCAAGCUGCUGGCAAUGGUGGCCCUUCUUCCAGUUCAGUCCUUUCUUUUAGUCCCUGGAUCACCAGUGCUGCUGCCUCCAUCACUGAUCGCAAAUAUAACAAUACAAUCAUUCUAGGCAAUGGAAAAAGCUUCUCGGGCACUGGCCUUGCCCGUAAUCUUUCAACUCUUAUAUGCUGUUCUAAUUCACUAAACAUUGAAUAAUGCAAAAGCCAAUUUUGUUUGUUGCAGUUGAAAGUUUUCUCUUACUAAUCAUUAAAAUAAACAAUAAUUAUCAUCCCAACUCUUAGAACUGUUUUGGUUAUAUAUUGUGCAGCUCCAACAUCGGGAGAAGUUCCCUUCCUAUUAGCUGCAGCAGCUGAUGUCUCUCAUGGGAAUGUAACCAGUGUCGUAGAAGUUGAGAGCUGUCAACAUCCAGAACACUUUAUCAAGUCGUUGGUAUGGGAAAAGUUAAUCAUUUGUACAUAUACCUUCGACUUUGAAUAUGAGGAUGCGAGCAUUGCAACUGUUGAAGACACUAUACAGCAGAUAGGAGCUGCAGGCUUUAUAAUCACAAUGGAUCCUGACAUUAGUUCUGAGCAGAUCAAGGGUACCACAAUGACCAUGCGAGUUCCUGCAAUUAUCCUGAACACCAUGCAAGCUUCCUCGGUAUAAUCAGUAUUAUUCAACUCAUUUUCUAUUAACAAAAACAAAAUUAGCCUCGUGCCAUUAUAUACAAGGACAGGGACUUAGAAAGGGUUUCCAAAAUCAAUCUUGUAUAUAUCUGCUGAGAAAUCAAAUGCUAAUCUUUCUAUCAUUUUAUGAUCCAUCAAUCACUCUAGGUGGGUAGGCUAACUGAUGGUAUUUCUCAAUAAUGCCAAUAGCCAUGAGUCUUUUUAAAAUCACUUUGCAGGCUUUAUGGGAGUAUUACAACUCUAAUACAAUCAGGAGCAGGAGUGGACAAGCAGUGGCUUUUUCUGCAACAGCAAGAAUUCUGGAUGGAAGGCAAGCAUUCUUUACUGGACAGGCACCAAUAGUAGCAUCCUAUUCCUCUAGAGGUCCUGAUGUGAACAAUGCACUUUUGCAAACUGCUGAUGUCCUCAAGCCAAAUAUAAUGGCUCCAGGAUCCUCUAUUUGGGCUGCAUGGAGCCCGGACAGUGAGGGAGAUCCUUACGUCAAAGGUAAAGAUACAAACACCUUUUAGGGCUGCCUGUUUGAAGUGCAAGCAGUGAAAUUAAUGUCCUGGGACUAGAGGAGUCGGAGAAGAAAAUACCUUCCCAGCGACUUGGGAAUUAAAUCCUGAUCAAGAAUAUAAGAAGCAGAUCCACUUGACAACUUAGCCAACACUCUGGUUUAAGCAGUACUGUUAUAAACUAACAUGUCAACCAGAUAUAGCUGCUACAUAACUUCAAAUGCAUCAUAUGUUCUUCAGCCUAAUGAACUGUUGCUGUUCCUAAGAAAUAGCUAAUUUUGUCAAUUUUCAUUCCUCUCAGGGCAGAACUUUGCGCUUGUGUCUGGUACUAGCAUGGCUACUCCUCAUAUAGCUGGUGUUGCAGCUUUGAUCAAGCAAAAACACCCCAAGUGGAGUCCUGCAGCUAUCACCUCAGCAAUGAUGACAACUGCAGAUACAACUGAUUGCUUUGGCUCCCCCAUUUUAGCACAGUCGUCUAACCAGCUAGCACCUGCUACCCCAUUUGAUUUUGGUGCUGGAUCCAUUAACCCAGCUAGAGCCAUUGAUCCAGGACUUAUAUUUGAUGCCCGUUUUGAGCACUAUGUCCAAUUUCUUUGUGCUGUUCCUGGUGUUGAUGAUGAAUCUGUAAGACGAGCUGUAGGAAUAGGUUGCCCUAUCAGAGGAAGGGCAUGGUGUUCAGAUUUGAACACAGCAAGCGUGACAAUUUCCAAUCUAGUUGGGUCACGAAAGGUAAUUCGACGAGUAACAAAUGUGAGUCGAAGAAAUGAAGUCUACAGAGUGACUGUGAGGGAACCACUAGGUGUAAAUGUUACUGUCAAACCACAAGUUUUCUGGGUAAGAGGUAAUGCUUCAAGGCAUUUUAGGAUUUUGUUAAAAGCAAGGAAGGCAAUGAGAACUUACACAUUUGGAGAGAUAAUAUUGUAUGGAAGUAGAAAUCAUGUUGUUAGAGUUCCGAUUGCUGUUUAUGUUAGCACCACUUUAUAGUAUUGAAUUCCUUAUAUUUACAAGCCUCUUGAAAGUUCUGGGACACAGAUCAUCUUCAGUCAUAGUUUAACAGUCCUGUAGUUCUCUCUUGCCCUCUCUUAAUUUGUGAAUUAGAGAUCUCCAGAUGUAUAAUAUCUUUGCUUUAUUUCUUCAUAAGUCUAGACAAAAGAGAACAUAAAUCAUGUUAGCUAGAAGGGAAACAUAGUCAUGAGAGUUUGUUUUUUUUUUUUUUUUAUAAAAAAAAAAAAAGAAAGAAAGAAAAUUGCCCUUCAUUGCCCAUCAUGAUGUGUUCAAAUAAUUAAACAAAAGAAAAAUGAAUUUUAGAUUUUGUAUUCAUCCUUGAAGCAAUGUUUCCCUCAAUGUAUAUAUAUCUUCCUGAGGACUAUCUCAUUGAAGCCCUACUGAAGCUUUAUCUGCGCUUUUGCAGCACUGCUAAAAACUUUGAUAUAAAACCUCUCUUCUUUUGCACCUGAAGCAAUAGGAACAUAACUAACAUUUGAUCUGCCAUAUCAAUAAAGUAAAAAAAUAAGAAACUGCAUCUCACUUAUCUCACCUUUAGGUUAUUCAUCACAGCAUUGCUUGUAGAACCAGAGUGCUUUGUCUUCUUAUCGUUCUUGAUUUGGACACGUGUCAAGGAUCUGCAGAACUUGAAUUUCGAGAUUUUCCACUUGCCUAAGCAAGCAGGAGUGUUGUCAUACUUUGGCUUUCUUUGGACAACGGCAAUCUACCAUAGGAAACAAUCAACAAGUAAAUCUUCAUUAUCAUCAUUUUUCCUUUUUGUGGAAAUAUCUAUUCAUGCUCAAUCUCUCUCUUACCAAAAAAAUGAGACCUGAAUCAACAGAAUAUCUCUUUUCCUAGAAAAGUUAAAGUAAUGCAACCCAGGAAUAAAUGGUGCCAAUCUCAUGAAAAUAAAUACAUUCGAGGACUAAAGAUGAGGCAGUUCAAAAUAUUAAAUGAAGAAAAAUAAAAGAUGUGGGUAAUUCUCUUUCUCACUACCUUGUUUAGAAUAAAUCAUGUGCAAGAACUCAGUUUUUUUGUUACUUUGAAAUUGACAGAAGAAAAAGAAAAGGACACAGAUAAAGAAUUAAAUUACAUCCGAACUGUCCAAACAUGAUAUUGAAUAAAGAGAAUUGAAUUCUAGUAUUUUUAGAAAAUACAGUCAUAAAAUAAGAAGCUAUAGAAAAGGUUUUCCCUCUAAUACUUAACAUUUUUAUGUGGUAAAAUAAAUAUCAUAUAUACCAAGCGAAACAGUUUUUCUUCUUUUAGUUGAAUCGUGUAUUAUAUAUAUGAACAGAGAGGUAUAGUUGAGUACAUUUUCUGUAGGCUGCAUGACAUUAGAAGAGAUCGGCUUUGGAAUUGGAUCCAAGUGAGAUGAUUCCACAGGACGAUGAUCAGCCGACUCCCUGAGACGUUGAGAGUAGAGAAGAAGCUGAGCUCUUCUGCUGAACCCUUUACCAGCAUUAAUACUGUCACCAUAUUUGUUUGCAGUUACCUCUUGUUUGAUAUUCUGAUGAUUAUAAUAGUGGCAAUGGUGGUGGUGGUGGUGAUGACGGUGACUUUUUGAUGUAACCUUUCUCUUUGUUGGCUUCUCCACAUAGACACUAAUUACUACAACCUUUUUCUUGCACAACUUGGCCUGAAACUUGAAAUUGUCAGCUAUAUAUUCAUUUCUCUCUUUUUUUUCUUUUUCUUGUUGCCACAUAAACACAAACACAAGACAUAAACAUAGACAGAGAACGAGAAAGAUGAUUUACCAUUUCCUUCGGCAUGAUCAUCAUCGUGUCUUAGAAGAAAGUUUUCCUGCAGUGGGUUUUAGAUUAAAAGAAACAUAUUUAAGUAUAAGUGUGUGUAUAUAUAAAGGGACACCAUAGCUAAUGCUACCUUAUUUGUUGAUAUCAUUAAUUAUUAUAAUUUUUUAAAAUUUAAGAAGACCGUGGAAUAUUAAUUUUUAUUUCAAAAUAAAAUAAUUAUUGAUUUACAUUCGAUCGUAAAUAUAAUAAUAUAAAUUACUCAAGCUCAGUCUUUUUUUUUAUUCAAAAAAAUUAAACGUGUUAAAUUACUUAAUUUAAUUAAAAAAUCAAAAAAAUUUAAAAGUAUAUUAUAUAAUAAUCUCUUAUAGUUGACGGUUUUAUUAAAACUUAAGAAUAACUUAAAACUCUUUCAUCUUAUAUAUGAUAUUUACAGAAAGAACUGAACUCGAUUAGAAUUUAAUUAUUAUAUCAUUUUCCUAAUUCAUAACUUGUGUCGUAGGAAUGCAUUUAUGUUAUUGAAAUCAUCAAAAUAAAAAUCAAAGCGAGAAUGCUGUGUUGGAGAAGCGGAUGGAGAUGCUAUGCCAAACCGAGAAUGCCAAAGCAAAGUCUUUGGUUGCAUCGAUCAUCUCGAGAAAUUGUUAUGUCUUAAAGCUUCCAAAUUUCCAAACUUAAAAGAUUGAAUUGCUUGAUGCAACCUAUCUUACAAGUAUUCUCGACUUUUUAUAGAUAUUUUCUUGAUCACCCACUUCAAACUUCUUCAUGAAAAACACAUUUGUCAAUUUAGAAAUUUAAAUUAUCAUGUGAUGCAGUUCAAACAUUAUAAAAGAAUUUGGAAUAGAGUUUAAUUUGCCCUUUGAACUUUGCACUCAGGUUGAAAUUGAUCCUUUUUUAUUUCUAUGAUCAACCCAAUUUCUAAUUUUUUUUCAAAUAGAUUCAAUUUCUUCCUUUUUAAAAUGAGUCAAUUAAGCACGUUAUAGUAAAAGCAUGAAAAAAGUACCAAAUUGAUUAUGAACAAUAAGUUUGAAUUUCAAAUUGAACCAAGUGAUCAUUAAGGGGUCAAAUUAAACGUUAUUCUAUUUUUAAGUUAAAAAUUAAAAUAAUAAAUUUAACUUUUUCUAAAAAAUUAUUACAGAUCCAUUAAACCCAUCAAGAUAAACUCGCUACCGCCAUUAAUAUAUUUCCACCACUACCACCAAUACCUUUAGCAAAUACCUUUAAAUUAUCAAAAGUAAAACAUAGAUGAAUAUUUACAAUCUAACACUGCUAUUAUCCCCUUUUUAUCAGCCUUUAUACCAUUACCUCUACCCACUAAUUUAAAAAUAAUAUAUGCACAAUCUCAUCAACACUCACAAACACAUAACCUAUUAUUACAGAGGAAUGAACACAAUUUCAAAAAUCAAAGUUCUUAGCAGCACCAGCAUCAAAAUCACACCACCACUAAUUUCUUUAUUUGCUCAACCACCAAAUUCAAUUAGAUAACUAAUCAAUAAUUAUUAAUUUUUUUUAAAGGAUCAAAUUGAGACAGCACAAAAGAAAUUGAAUGCCCAAAUUGAGCUGGCCUUAAAUGUCAGGUGGUCAAAUUGGAUUAUAUAGCACAUGCAAUUCACUCUCUCAAGAAAUGGUCGAAUUCGACCUAUUCAAAAAGUCAGGAGCUAAAUUGGUUAUAAAAGAGUGAAAACAAAUAUUAAAUUGGGCCUGACCGUAUAAAGAUAAAAUUGAAGCUUAUUCCAAAAGUGUCAUUGACAAAAAUAAAAGUAGAUGUUAAUCCGCAAGUCAUAAGUUCUUUGUCACUGAGCCAUGUAACACUUAUCAGAAACGAUAAGAUGCAAGAUUCAAUUGAUAGUAAGUCUCAAUCGCCUCCACCACGUCUCCCGAAUUGGCUCUUCAUCUUCCUCUUUAGAAACAAAAUCUGAAAGUCUCUUCUUGAGGUCGUUGUUGCUUCCAUGGCUGGCAGCAGCCUCCAAAUUUAUUUAUUUUUUCUUUAUCUGUUUCUUCUUUUGGCUAAUGAAAGAGUCUGAUUUCUUGAAUCCAGGAUCUUUCCACCAUUGAUCUUAAGAUUUUACUCUUUUUUGUGCUAGUUCGGUUGUUUUAUUGAAAACCUUUAGUUUAUUCUCUCUUAAAGAGGUGUUAUUAUCUCCCGUGGUGGAGCUUUCUUCUGACCAUCUUCUCUACGAGAAGGAUUUUUCAAGAGUCAACACCACGCAUAUGAUUCAAAAAAAAAAAAAAAAGGGAGUAGUUGAUGUGCUGAGGGAGCAUUUUGGGUGUUUGAUUUUCUUUAUUUUAUGUUCAUAUCUCAGUCUCAAAUUUACUAUAUAUUGAGUUGUUGGUGGGUAGAUUUACCGGCACAACCUUUUUAUGCCGGAAGUGAAGCUUUGAAAAGUGAUGUCGAUCGCACGCGGGAAUCAUGAAGGCUUUCAUUGUCGCAGCUGUUGGUUGCUGAUAUAACUAUUGUUGCAGUUGAAUAUCUCUGGUCUAGGGUUUCAUUAGCUUAGAGAGGACAUUAUAGUUUAGGGUUGGUCCCUUAAAAGAACUGGAGUGAAGAUUUUAUUUUUCUACAAUACAACAUUGGAUCAAAGGAAGAAAGGAGAGAAGGAUUCGUUUAGUUGUUAUAGGCAUUAGAUAAUUUGGCAAUAUGCUCUCAUCAUCAAAAGUUUGACUACAUCUCUAGCAUUUUAAGUAUUUCCCACCUCGGAAAUUGAUGGUGUAUUUAUUAAUUAGUAGUCAACUGCCUAUUUAUUGCCAGAGUUGUUGAUGCUAUUUUUAUUAUAAAAAUUUUAAAAUUUAAUUUUUAAUAUAAUUAGCAAACUUUCAUAAGUUUAUGAUUUAAUAGAUUUUUAUUUCUUUUUAUAAAUUAAAAUUCUAUUUUAAAAAUUUCAAUAAUAAUAUUUCGUACAAUCCUCUCAUAUGUCAUUAGUAAGCUUAUUUUUUUAUUACAGUAUAUAUAAUUAUUGCACAAACUCACAAUUUUUCUCUUUUUGGAAAAUACUAAAUAGCAUUGGGAAGUUUUAAAAAGACAAAAAGGAAUAAAUUAUAUAAUAUAUAUAUAUAUAUACACACGUCGUGAAAUAUGAUGAAUUUAAUACUUCUUCGUCCUAAAAAGAUGGCCUCUUAUUCUUUUUUGCUCCGUCGCAAAUCACAGUUAACUUUCCUUUUCGAAUUCUUAGUUUAGUAAGUAAUUGUUUAAAAUGACUUUCAUUACUUUACAUAGAUAUUAUUAUAAAUAAUUGAUUUUAUAUUUUUAUACUUUGAAAUUUCAACUUUUAUAUAUAUAUAUAAGAAAAAGUGAUAAAAUUAAUUAAUGACUUUAAUUAAGAAAUUUAUGUUUCGUAAUUCAGGUGUAAAUUAAAAGUGAAUUAUCUUUUUAGAAAAAAGAGGAUAUAAUAAUACUUAUUAUGCCCUAUUUCAGAAUAAAUGCUAAGGUUAAACUAUCUUCUAAGAUUUGACUUUAGAAACACUUUAGUCUCAUGUGUUUCUAAUUAAGCAAGUGUGGUCUUUAGAACAUUUGUAAUGCCUUUUAUUUUAAAAAAUAUUAUUGACACAAUACUAUUUUAAAUUUUUUUAAAACAUUAAAGAUAUAUUUUUUUUUUAAAUCUAAUACACUUUUUAUAUUUUUUUCUUUUUAGUUUAAUGUUUUUCAUAGAUUUUUAUAAUUACAAUUUCUUAUUUAUUUUUUUUACAAAUUUUACUAAUAGAAAAAAAAUUAAUCAUAUCAAUUAAUAAAGCGUACAAAGAUUUAUUAUAUAUUUAGUAAAAUUAAAAUAAAGAGUAAAAUUUGACUCUUUAAAUUUGUGAAUCCAACUUUUAUUAUUCACUAAAAAAAAUAGAGAUUGUAGUCUUAUUUAUAAAAUAAUUAUUUUAUAAUAAUAAUAAAUAAUUUGAUGCAUAUAUUAUAAAAAUAUUCUUUAAAAGUGCAUGAUAAUAAAUGAGUAAAUUUGCCAACACCGACUAUAAAUUCUUUUAUAAUUUGUUGUUGGAUAAUUAAUUUAUAUUUAAUUAUUUAAAUUAAUUUAAUGUAUAAAGAAAUUUUUAAAUAAUCUGAAGCCUUGAGAAUAUCAAAAUAGUAGAGACUGUUCCUGAGGUCAAACCUAAGAGGAAAUGACCCUUCAGAAGGAAGGAGAGGAAAAAACAAAAACAGAAAGAAAGAAGAGAGCUGCGUAGAUGCUAAAGAAGAAGAAAGAAAGAAAGAAAGAAAAAGAUUCUGGGUAGCGGUUAGAUUGAAUAGAUUUUUGGCAGGCAGAAAGAAAUGAAGGGUUUAGAUCAUAUAUCAUAAUAAAAGAGUAUGGACACAAAAUCCCAAGAAAAGAAAAAAACCAUAAAAGGCAAGGGAAUAGUAACUGCAACAUACACGCGUCUCCAAAUUCCACAAACCAUUUCAUGGAAUUCCAAUCCUUUUCUUACAGUCAUUAGAAACACCUUCUCAAGAGCCUCAAAUCCACUUGUCCGUUUUUAAUUUUUUUCACCUCAAAGUUUCCUCCUCAAAUGCAACCGGACCAGAUAAUUAAUUAUAUAUAUAAUUUCCGUAAUUCAAUUCAACCAUUGCGUUUAAUACAACCCAAAAGCAGCCAAGAAAAAUCUUGCCAAACCCUAUUAUUAGCUGAAGUAGAGAAUACACUCCUUCUCCCUCUCUCUCUCUCUGGCUCUUAACUCUUUCCUGUCUUUUUCUCAUAUAUUUCACUACUUAUAACCCCCCUACACUACCUCUCUCUGUUUCAUUGCAUCUUUUCUUUUCUUGAUUUCCGUCCUUCUGCUUUUAGUUUCACUUUCUGUUUCUUGGGUUGUUACUGUUUUUUGUUUUCUUN
rnacentral:lncRNA from 1 species